UCCCUUUAUUCCUUUACAAAAUUGAACUUGACUUGAAACCAUUUCAUUCGUGAAUUACAUAACACAUUCAAAAUUGCUCAUUUAAAUUCCCAAUUUUAUGUGAUCUUUUGGCUUAUUUCAUAAUCUGACUUCAGUGUGACCUGUAAAGGACUGGGAAAUCAUAUAAGCAGAAAUAAUAGGCAGGUUUGAGAAAUGGAAAUAGCUUCUAUUUAAAUUUAAAUUUUAAAAUGAUAUCAAAUUAAACAGAGUUUAGGGUCUAUGAAUUAAUUAUUGAUCUUUGAUUUGGCUGUAAAAUAAAAGUGCAGUCACCUGAAUGUACAAAAUCAGAUGAUAUAAACGUUUUACACACACACACACACACACACACACACACACACACCUUUUUGUUUAGUUGUUUUUGGAAACCUUUCUCAAAGUAUUUGCAAAGAACGUGCAAUGAUCAGGACCAUGGUGAGGUCCCCGUGGCUCACCGAGAGGUGACUCGGGGCUCGGGUUGGUACACAGAGUUCGGUUGAGAACAGGUCAUUGUUUAGAAAGGUACAUUCGUCCGGGAUGGCACUCGUGAUAAGAUUAAGCAUAAACCUAAACCUUGGCCUGGGGAAAGGAUGGCGGCAGGGGCGAGAAGGAGAGAUGCGGAUAAACCCUGCUCUGUUGCUUGCGCACAUAAUUAAAAGGCCGCCCCUCAUCUGGAGCGUGGGCUCUGUCCGGCCUAAGGUGCUUAUUCUGUAGUUACUUGGCCAACCAUGUGUGAGUGAACAAGAGCCCAAGAGCUUAGAAUUAAGGAUCUAGAUGAGAUGUCCAGGGGGUGUCGACUCUUGUCUCCAUUUUAGGGAGAGGCAACCGAAAAUGGUGACUUUGGCUUGCCUUGAGCAAGCCUGAGCAUUGACGGUAGGGCUGUGAGGAAGGGCCGGAGAGACUGGGGGCGCGACGUCUUAGGGGGCUGUCUUUGGACCUCUGUGUUUGUGACAGGGGGGUAUAGGCAAGGGCAGGGCACUCGCCCUUUGCUGUACCCAGGCGCAGUUCUUGGGGGCUGAGCGCCUUCUGCGGCUCUUUGGUUUCAAGGACACAGCGAGCUGCUCAGGACUUUGGGAGCCAACAUCUGUCUGACUGGUGACGUCAGCAGCCCGUGUAAUCCUCUUGUGCUGAAGGCAGAUGCCUUAUUUGUUUGGCUGGAGCGAGCCAUUAAUCCCUAAUUCUGGAUCAGCAAGCGAGGGGGAAAGACCGGACCGCUCCGACCCACCCCCACCCACCCCCACCUCCCACCCUAAAGCACCUUAUACCACGGAAGCCUCUCAGCCUCCUCUUUCCUCCGCGAAGGUGCUCAACAGCAAUUGAAAACGCUUUGGUCCUCUCCAGGUUUGAUCAGAGCCAAAGCGCGUGCUGGGGAAUCUGCGCUGGACUGGCUCUCGGCGCUCCCUCCAGCCGCAGCCGGUAUCUACACCGCCCAGGGACUGCGGUGGCUGAGGAUCCUCGCUUCCUCGGACGCAGGAGUCGGAGCGGGCCUUUCCCUUGGGCCGACCGCGCUGUAGGGGACGCCGCGAAAAGAGCCGCUGCGCCCGCCAGCUCCUGCCCGCUGCGCAGAGGGCUCCGCCCGUAGAGGUCAACUCCCCUCACCCCUUCCUCUCUCCUGCUCGCCCUCCCUCCGCCCGGCCCAGGUUCCUCCAGCCUCCAGACUCCUGCCGCAGUCUGAGGAGAGCGCGUCGGCUGCGCUGUUCUGAGCCAUAACCCCCAGCCGGGCCCAGACCCGAGGUCCGCGCUCCCAGACAGUGGGGAAGCCUUAGCGAGCUGCCUUUUCUCUCUGCACCAAAGCUGUAGCCAGACCAGAUGGGCCGCCCAGCUCUCUCGGGACUAGGCAGGUGCGGUUGAGUUAAUUUUUCCGCAUUACAAAGAAAGACGACCCAGCCCGCCCUUGGCCUCUCAUCUCUUCCCCAAACCUCCCAACCGAAACCACGGUGACGUUAUCAGAGGACACAGAGCCUAGGCAUAUCUGCGUGUUUAUCUUACACACACACACACACACACACACACACACACACACACGCAUGAUUACUUUCCCUUCUAUAUGCUAGAUCUCAUUUGCGACAGCAAGAAGUGAUUGACAAAGCUUUCUGCACCAGAACAUGCAAUGGUGCGGUCCUUAAAACCUGCCAUGCCUUACAAGUGACUUAGAAGGGAUGCAGGGCGAACCAACUCGGUUAAUUGCCUUCAGGAAAAUAACACGAUUACAAAAUUAGAUCUGUACCAGGGGGGUAAUUAACUUCGAUCCACGCUGUCAUUUGAAAACUAGAUUUAUAGGGUAUGUAUGUUUUUAGGUGUGCUGUAAAUGGCAUGCAGAUAUAUGCAUAUGUAUACGCAGACACAUGCAUCGUCUACACUUCCACCGAACAGACUAAUUAGCAGCGGCUCUGGCAGCUGUGGCAGGAGGCGAGCUGAGACAGGAGCCCGGCUUAUGAGUUACGACUCUGGGGGAGUUGUAGGGACUCAGAGCUCGGCGUAGGGGGAAGGGCAGGAGAAGUGAUGUGUUCGCAGUGGGUCAGUUACUUUCCGGAUCAAGAUCAGACUCUGCCCUCCGUGUUCACAGCGGACCUUGAUUUAAUGUCAUACAAUUAAGGCACGCGGUGAAUGCCAAGAGCGGAGCCUAUGGCUGCACUUGAAGGACACCAGAGCGUCUCAGGACGAGAAAAGGGAAAAAGCAAUCACAAGGGGGUUUGAGGGGUAGUAGAACAAACCCAUCAUUUGCCGCAUAAGGACCCUCAAACUGAUUCCAGAACCAACCUAGUGUUUCCAAAGCAAACCGGUCAUAGUUUUCGGGAAAAGCCUCGGAAAUCUGCUGGCGGAUUUUAGGAGAGUUCCGGUGACAGGAGCUUCAGCUGUCAGGAAAGCAGGAGUUCCAGUUUGUGCAGAUAUUCUAGAGUUGAACUGUUUAGAAAGCAGUGGAUCUUUAAGGAGCAAGUAGUGUGAUUGUUUGCGAUUCUGGGCCAAGCUGCCGAAACAAACAGAACAGAGAGGAUGAUAAUGCUAAAUGGCGCCCUCAUCACAUUGCGCAAGAAACCUCGAAUGGCUCAACUCCUUCGGGAAGCCCUCUACAACCACCACCACUGCCCUCUACCCGCCCCACCCCUUCUCCCUUUCUCUUCCUAGUAUCCAGUCGGCCUUGCCUGACUUUGAAAAGCCAAGAUAAUUUCCUUGUAUCGACAUAGUCUCAAUGGUCAAAUCAGUCAAAGGAGUAGGACAAGGGGAAAAGGCCAAGCCUGAAACUUUAGAAGGACUCUGCAAAUUAAUUUAUUUGGAAGCCAAUGAAGUGGACUUUGUUAAGGUAGUAGUUCCGCACCACGGCCUUGGAGCCAAAAACAAACCGAGAUUAAGAAAGCGAGCCUUGAUAGAUGUCUUUGUUCUGCCUUGGCCUGCAGGGGCUGGGAACAAAGGAGAGGAACUGAGAGAGGAUUCACCAAAGUGGCCGCGCCCUUAGCGCCUGGCGCUGUCCGCGGUGCUGACCUCGGCCCUCUUCUCUCUCCGUAAUUUAACCAAAAAGCAAUAGGACCCUCCCGCCCCCAUCCCGAAGAAUAACAGAAUAUUAGGUAAUUUGAGAAAGAAAAAAAAAUAAAGGCAGAGAAAUGCCGCACAUGGCAAAACCUAAUAUUUUACCAAAAUAGUCCACUCUAGCUGUUGCCACACUUGACUUGCCCUUUACAGUCUUGGCGUAGUUACGUAGUUAGUGUAUGUACAUUGGGAAACAAUUCCACUUUAUUUAGACUGAAACCUGAAUCUAGCAAUGGGCGGGACUUGCAAGGAGAAUGAGGAGAAUGAAGGCUCUAUUUUUUCUUUCUUUCUUUCUUUCUUUCUUUCUUUCUUUCUUUCUUUCAAGUCAUCUUCCUUAAAACAUACAAACUUAUGGUCUUCAGCUGCAUACCUAAAUAGUGCUAGUGUGGUCAGUAAAGGGACUCACAACGGACUCGAUUGUGGGCCUUGAGACUUACCAGAAAAGGACAGGAUGGGGACUCACUAGAUGAGACCAAGCAGGAGUCCACCCAGCCCCAUCCCCUCAGGCAGAAAGGGCAGCCUUCCUAGGUGGGUCCAGAGCCCCAAGCUCUGCAGACCUCUCUGAUGCGCGGAGCAAGCUCCGUGCUUCCUGGCCGGCGGGAGGCACUGCAGGCCAGAAAACGUGAAACCCGCACUGCGGAAAAACCAACUACAGCAUCCUUUUCCUCCUCAAAGCUCUGUCAGUUGCGAUUGGAAAAGGGCAGGGUGGCUUACCAAAUAGCAGGCAAUGAAGAUUUCCUUUAGGAGUCGAGGGGCGUAUGGGUCAGUAUUCAUACAUUCAAUAAAUCUUUUAUAUUGAGAACAUUAAAUAUAAAUAAUAAGAAUUUAAAUAUCUUAACUAAAUAAUCAAAGAGAGAUAGAGAAACAGGAAAUCAGCCAAUGUGUAACCAGCCUGAGGUCGCAAAAGAAAUUGCUACAUGCUUGUUUGUGUUUAUAGAUCCACAAACAUAAAAGAUGUUAAAACUAGAAAUAGAUAAUAGUAACAAUAGAUUAUAGAAUAAUAGAUCUAUAAAAAAUAGAAAUAGAUAACAAUCCAGACUGGGCAACAGAGGUGGCAACACCAAUUUUGAUCCAGAUAUAGAAAUGGGCCACAAAUGGGUCAUACAUUUCAUCGGAUUCAUUCUUUUACACCUGAAUGAUGGAGAUAUAUCAAAUGAUUCCAAAAAUAAAGUGGUAAAGCACUUAUUCUCAGGAGAUAGUCAUACUGCCUUCUCUCAGGGUGGAUUUUAUUUGUCCUCUGAUUUUAGAAUUCUGUGAAUUAGGCCUUUCAUGUCCAUUGAUGACUUAAAUUUCUAUUUCAUUUUAUAUAAUUUGAGAGGGAAUAGGUAAAACACACUAAAAAAGGGGGGGAUUACUUGAAUAAUAAAAGGAAAGUGUUUGGAAACAUUCUUCUUAUGCCCGUUAAGAGUAGUCAUUGGAAAUUGAAAUGAAUUUAAAUCAUCACAUGUUAUCAUGGAAGCUUGAUUUCAUUCCAGGAUUCAUGCAAUUGUGCCGAUCUGCACCCACAUUCCCUUGGAUAUUUCAUGAAGCAACAAGGGUCCAAGGUUGCAAAAUAUUUCUGCCUGAGUUGUGUUAUAAUUCAUAUUACAUAAUAGAAACCCACCUAAUUCCCCUCACUCUAAUCCUUCCUGUUUAGGAAAUCUAAAUUCAUCCUCCAGAAAACUAAGUUUUUAAAUUACUUUCUAAACAGAGAUGAGAAACACGGUGUGAAAGAGAGAAGGUAAAAUACUGUUUAAAUAAGGGAACAUUUAGUAUUCUGGUUACAGCGAUUAAACCCAGAAUGGUUACUGAUCCGUAAUAUUUCUAGAUUUUUAAGACUAUUUUAUUUUCUACUUCUUUUAAAAGUAAUCAUCUGGUUUAAUGUCCAUCACCAAUUUGACUGCUAUGAAAUUCAGUGCUCAGCAUUUUUUGCAAUAAAACAACUUAAGCUUCGCAAUUGGAGAAUUUCGGCCUGGAGUGCCACGGGGGUCCUUUGACAAUCACAACUUUCAUUUAGUGGUCUGAAAUUAAAGCUUUUUAGAAUAAGUUGGGAGCAGCUUGACCCUUUGAAAUACUCAAUGACAACCCUCCAGGGAAAUAGCAUGUUUUCUUCCUGGGAAGGAGAUGCUAGCGCAGUGCACCAGGGAGUAAUACGCUGUCAACAAUGCCAGAGCGCCCUCUGCUGCCAGAAAGAGGCAAGACACUAGCUAAAAUAAUCCAGAUGGCACUGAGUUGCUGGGUAAGCAGUGAAAACAUUAAGCUCUUAGAAACAUUUAAUCUGUGAAAUUUAAAAUCUCUGAUCAUAUUGUAUUUUUGAAGGGGCCACCUGAUUUUGAUUUUGAGAACUCCUUGAAUAAUUUUCUUAUAUUUCUUCAAGGUAGUGAAAGGUCAAAUGUUAUGAAGUUUCAGUCCGUUGAAUUAUUUCUGUAGUUACAUUUCUGCACUUUCUCUAAUUUUAUAUGAAAAUAUGAAAUUGCAGUUCGGAGUUAAAAAAUCUUUAUGCUGAAUAUAUUGGCAAAUAAUUCUUUUCCUAGUUUCUCUAGAUAACUAAGAUCUAAUAAAAAAAUUAGCUAAAGAUAUCAAUCAUAGAUUGUUACAUUUUUUAAAACUAAGGACUGAGGUAAAGAAUCAUUUUUUUAUUUCGAUAAUUAACCCAGAUUUUUCUCGAGCUUUAAGUCUAGGAAAAGAAAGUGAGUUAUGUUUGAGGAAGAAGUUGAAAAUUUUGCUUCGUCCUAAUAUAUAUAUUCUUUUUACCCUUGACAUUUUUGAAAUGAACGUAUAUCCAUGCUUAGCUUAGAAAGAUUUCAUUAGAAAAGAAUGCACUCUGACUAUAAACUAUCUGAUGUGGCUGCAGCACAGGCAAACUCAUAAAGAAGCAAUACCUGAAUUAAAAUUGAGUUUUUCAGUAUGGAGCAAUCUCUUUUCAAAUGAAAUUGGAGAGCAUUUUCUAAAAGGUUAAAAAUUCUUUUUGAUUUUUAUGUAUUACAGGGUUUGUAUUGAGUUUUAAAAUGUACAGCUGUAUUAAUUAAAUGUUGUGAAUCUCAAAAUUACAGCCUAUUUCUAAACACACACACACCUUUGCCAUGAAGACUAUGUUGAAUAUAUCAGUGCUAAUGUAAUAAAAUGCUUCUAUUAAUUAUGUGGUUGUUAAAUAAAUCUUGGAAAAUAAAGUUCUAUUUAUUUUAUGGUGUCAGAAUGAAAUAGAUAUCCAAUAUCACUUAUUUAAUCCUACUUUAAGUGAAAAUUCUUACAAGAAUUUGUAAGCUAUAAAAUUGCUGACAAUAUUAAACCAAAAUUUAAAAAAUUACAUAAUUUUAUAAUUUGCUAUAAGAGAAAAACUGUUGAUUAAAUAUUAAACUAAGUUAAAUAUUUGGCCAGUUAUGUAAAAUUCCAUAAAACUACAGGUACAUUUGUCUUCUGAAGCUAUUUCUCCAAAGAAUGUAUUUAUAAGUUUAUGGCAUAAUAAUAAAAAUAAAGAAAAUUUUUAGAGUUUU